AUACGGAGGGUGCAAGCGUUAAUCGGAAUUACUGGGCGUAAAGCGCGCGUAGGCGGCUGAUUAAGUCGGAUGUGAAAUCCCUGGGCUCAACCUAGGAACUGCAUCCGAUACUGGUCAGCUAGAGUUUUGGAGAGGUAAGUGGAAUUUCCGGUGUAGCGGUGAAAUGCAUAGAGAUCGGAAGGAACACCAGUGGCGAAGGCGACUUACUGGCCAAAAACUGACGCUGAGGUGCGAAAGCGUGGGUAGCGAACAGGAUUAGAAACCCUAGUAGUCC
rnacentral:rRNA from 1 species